AGCCCCGCGGUGUUACAUGUCAGACUGCAAAUCUGGAGUAGGCGCUUCUGCCCGGGGCUU
rnacentral:tRNA from 1 species